rnacentral:rRNA from 1 species
AGGACGAACGCUGGCGGCGUGCUUAACACAUGCAAGUCGAGCGGAAAGGCCCUUCGGGGUACUCGAGCGGCGAACGGGUGAGUAACACGUGAGCAACCUGCCCUUAGCUUCGGGAUAGCUCCGGGAAACCGGAAUUAAUACCGGAUAUGACUAUGGCCGACAUCAGCCAUGGUGGAAAGUUUUUCGGCUAGGGAUGGACUCGCGGCCUAUCAGCUAGUUGGUGAGGUAACGGCUCACCAAGGCGACGACGGGUAGCCGGCCUGAGAGGGCGACCGGCCACACUGGGACUGAGACACGGCCCAGACUCCUACGGGAGGCAGCAGUGGGGAAUAUUGCGCAAUGGGCGAAAGCCUGACGCAGCGACGCCGCGUUGGGGAUGAAUGCCUUCGGGUUGUAAACCCUUUCAGCAGGGACGAAGCGAAAGUGACGGUACCUGCAGAAGAAGCGCCGGCUAACUACGCGCCAGCAGCCGC